AUUGAACGCUGGCGGCAUGCCUUACACAUGCAAGUCGAACGGCAGCGGACCUUCGGGUGCCGGCGAGUGGCGAACGGGUGAGUAAUAUAUCGGAACGUGCCUUUCAGUGGGGGAUAACGUAGCGAAAGUUACGCUAAUACCGCAUAUUCUUUGAGGAGGAAAGCAGGGGACCUUCGGGCCCCGCGCUGAUAGAGCGGCCGAUAUCAGAUUAGCUAGUUGGGGGGGUAAAGGCCUACCAAGGCGACGAUCUGUAGCGGGUCUGAGAGGAUGAUCCGCCACACUGGGACUGAGACACGGCCCAGACUCCUACGGGAGGCAGCAGUGGGGAAUUUUGGACAAUGGGCGAAAGCCUGAUCCAGCCAUGCCGCGUGAGUGAAGAAGGCCUUCGGGUUGUAAAGCUCUUUCGGCCGGGAAGAAAUCGCACAGGCUAAUACCUUGUGUGGAUGACGGUACCGGAAUAAGAAGCACCGGCUAACUACGUGCCAGCAGCCGCCGUAA
rnacentral:rRNA from 1 species